UGUUCCCUUUCUGUGCAGUCAUCAGAACUGUCUGCUUUUAAUAAAGGCUUGUGGGACUCUGGCAAACAUGACUCCAUCUGUCUGCUCCACUUCAAGGCUGUCAGUGUUCAUCUGAGGCUGCUUCUCUUGCAGGCAGUGUCUCUCUCUGCUAGCUGUCCUUACAAGGCUUCUUCAGAUGAAACCCAGUCAGCAACACGAAAGCCAGCAGAAGCAUUCACUGUCCAGUUACCUCCAUCAACAAGAGCACUACUUAGGAUCCAGACAUUUAAUAUUCUAACCACUACUUCAAAAUGCAUUGAGAUACUCAAAUUACUUCUACUAUUAAAAGAUGGGUGCAACGAAGAGAUGAUACUACAUCUUCUGAUGAGGACUGAACAACUGAGGCCAAAGUGAAUGUCACAUACUAACGGCAUAACAAAUACUCAGAGAUUAAACUACAGAGUCUACUGCAUACGCAAACAGGUAUUUCAUGUGGGCAAGAAAUUCCAGUGCCUGAGGACCAGUCAUCUAUAUAGUUUCACAGAAAGGAUGUACUCCAACAUCUCUCUAAUAUUCCAAGUACGUAUCAAGACUUACACACUGAAGAGCAACUAGUAUCUGUAUCAAAACCUCCUAAGCAUUAAUGAACUGAGACAAACACUGCAGAAAACACAUCUUGAAGGCACAAAAGUGGAAAUGAGGCACAGAAAGCUGGUCUUACUGGAGACAUGUAAUAUGGAGUUCCAACAAAUGUUUUGGCAAAGCUGGUGUCAUGGUGCAAUAUUCUUGCCAGCCCAAAAUCUCCAAGUUUCACGUUCUGCUUGCUAUCUAGAAAGACAUUUGCUGGUUUUAGGUCGCGAUGCACAGUGACUGCACCAUCACUCCGCCUGUGACAUUCCUUCAAGGCCAGUGUCAGUUGAGUCAGUACUCUGAGAACAAAGCUUUCUUCCAAGUAAUGCCUGAAAGAUGAUCACAUUGUUUA